rnacentral:sRNA from 1 species
UCUCGGAGAUACACCGUGAGCGGUGCAC